CCUGCCGCUCAGGAGGGGACGUAGGGGCGACUGGCCCAACCGCGGAAACUGGCAGACCCGCCACGGGACGGCCGAGGGCCCGGACCCGAGGGAGGGGGCCCCGACCGGACCCCGGCGUGAGCGAGUCGGGGAGGACGCGCGGCUCUUCAUGGGUUUGUAGGAGAUGCCCCCUACAAAUCACUGUUGAUCUCUUGGCUGCCGUUCCCUCGACCUGAAAGGAUACACUCUAUACUCCCAAACACUAGGAAUUCCAUGGGACUCCUCCAGCUUCUCCUUGUUUACGUGGCCUUUGAGCCAGAUUAUGCAAUGACCCCAAGGAGGCUCUCUUUCACAUCUGGUUCAUGGGAAACACUCAUGCUCUGAUUGCCUAACAAACUCUGGAAGAACAGGCUGAUUCCAAUUUACUAGAUACUCUCCCCUGCUCUACUUCCAAGCAGCAAGCCAGCUCUUCUCUUGAUCUCUAGAUUUCCCGAAAAGGAGUCAGACAUCAGCAAACGGUGACCUGAUAAAUUCAAAGGACAUACUUUAGGCUUUGCAACUUGAAGCCUCUCUCUUUUGACUCGAGGUGAGGAGGAAAUCACAUAUCUACUUCUCAUUGGGAGGGGAGCAAGGUUCAAACCCAUCAACAGCUGUCUCCAAAGGAAUCCUUUAAAAAAUUCCUCUCCCUUAUGGUGGAGAAAUUGCAACACCUUGGACAAAGUAUCAAAAUUAGUAUAGUCAAUAACAGGCAGAUAGAUAUUAUGCACCCCAAGAUGCGAUGCUCUGAGAAAAAUACAUCAUUUAUGUACCAUUUUGACCGGGGUCACAAACUGAAUAUAAUCAUGAGAAAAUAGCAAACAAAGUAAAAAGAAUUGUUCCUUUAAAAAAAUUUUUUUUCAGUAGUCUACAAAACUGCCAUUGUUCUAAAAGACAAAGAAAGGCUCCGGAACUGUUCCAGAUGAAAGAGACUACAGAGAACAGCCGAAUGUAGCAGGUACACUGCAACACCUAGAGGAGCAAAACAAAAGCUGGGAAGGACGCCAUUCAGCUGACCGACUGGAAUGUAAACUUAAGUUCUUCAAAGGAACUGUUUCAUGGUUAACAGUUCCUGCAGCGGAUAACUGUACUGUGGUUACAUAACACAAUGUCCUUUUUCUUAGGAAAUAUACAAUAAAGUAUCUGGAGACAGGUGUAACGUAUGCGGCUUAUUCUUAAAUAAUUUAGAAAAAAAUAGAGAAAGAGAAAGAAGGAUAAAACUCCAACA